rnacentral:rRNA from 1 species
GACGAACGCUGGCGGCGUGCUUAACACAUGCAAGUCGAACGGAAAGGCCCCUUUGGGGGUACUCGAGUGGCGAACGGGUGAGUAACACGUGAGUAACCUGCCCUUGACUUCGGGAUAACUUCAGGAAACUGGGGCUAAUACCGGAUAGGAAUCCUUGCUGCAUGGUGGGGGUUGGAAAGCUUCGGCGGUUUUGGAUGGACUCGCGGCUUAUCAGCUUGUUGGUGGGGUAGUGGCUUACCAAGGCUUUGACGGGUAGCCGGCCUGAGAGGGCGACCGGCCACACUGGGACUUAGAUACGGCCCAGACUCCCACCGGAGGCAGCAGGGGGGAAUAUUGCACAAUGGGCGGAAGCCUGAUGCAGCAACGCCUCGGGCGGGAUGACCGCCUUCUGGUUGUAAACCGCUUUCAGCAGGGGCGAAGCUUGUGGUGACGGUACCUGCAGAAGAAGCACCGGCUAACUACGUG